rnacentral:lncRNA from 1 species
UCCACCAACUUUACAAAUUACACAUCUCUAUUAAAAAAUACGGAUAACCACCUUUAAUAAGGUCAUUCUUCUCAACUACAUCUUUUCCACAACAAGUUUGAACUUGAAAUCUUGCUAAAAAGAUUUAAGUCAAAUUACAUUCAAAUCAAUGUAACCAUAGUUUUUAUGAUAUUUUAAAAAUAAAAGAGAUAAACUAUUAUAGGUAAAUACUAAGAGGAGAUAAAUUUGUUAGCAGCAAAUAUAGAACUCUAAAUCCCCUCAUAAUACAACUUCCCUACACAACAUGAGUAUUAGAUAUUUUUGCAUAUAAACUCAAGAAAUAGAAGUUAGUAUAAAUAUAGAAAAACAGAUAUACUAGAUGCUUAAAAAGAAAGGCUAAAACAAAGGUCCUACACUUUUUGUUCUGUACCUCUCAAAAAUCUCAUCACAUUUAUUUAUUUGUAUAUAUGAAUAUAUCUGUCGUUUGUGUUUUACAGCCUCGACACACCUCAAAUAGUAAAACAAAAUCUAUCUUUAAUUUCUAGCCUCUUUCUUCUCUCUCUCUCUAUUUUUCUUACCCUCUUAUUCACAAUUUCAUUACAACCCUUGAAUCAUAAGUACAAAUAUUCAUAUCUCUAUCACAAUCUAUCUCUCUAUAUCAUUGUCACAUUUUUUAUAUUCAUACAUACAUAAACAUCUAUCUAAUAUGCAAAUGAAUAGGAAAUUGAUGCAAUGGAGUACACAAAUUCUCAUGACCCUUUUAUUGAUUCAAAUCAUUCAUGUUCAUAGCAUGAACAACAAUGAGGAAGAUCAUGAAGAGCAUGAGAAUAUGGAGAAGAUGAGUCUAGAACUUAUCCAUAGGCAUGAUUCAAGAUUUCUUGGUGAGGUAGAUCAAGUUGAAGCUAUACAAGGGUUCAUCAAAAGGGAUAUGAAUAGAAGGGAAAUGAUGGAUCAAAGAAUAGCAAUGAAUGAAGGUUAUAAUAAUAGAAGAAAAGACAUUGAAAUGAAACAAGAUUUUGAAUUUUCAAUGCAUUCAGGAAGAGAUGUUGAAAUUGGUGAAUAUUUUGUUGGUGUUACAGUUGGAACACCAGGUCAAAAGUUUUGGCUUAUUGCUGAUACAGGAAGUGAGUUAACAUGGUUUAAAUGUAUGAAAAAGGUUCAUCAUAAUCACCAACAUAAACAUAAACAUAAUAAACAUAAAGGAGGGUCAAAAAAAAAAUCAAGAACAAAAUCUCAUACAACAACAAGAAGAAGGGCUCAUUCUCAUAAUCCUUGUGAUGAUGCAUUUUGUCCACAUCGUUCUCAUACAUUUCAUCAAAUUUCUUGUGCAUCUAAAAUGUGCUUGGCUGAACUACCUUAUUGUUUGUCUGAUUGUCAAAGUCCUUCUGAUCCAUGCCUCUAUGAAGUCAGGUUUGUUUAUUUUCUUCCUCUUUUUGCUAGGUGUUUGAAAUAUUCAAAAUUGUUUUGUGGGGGUGUUGGAAGUAGAUUAAUAGGAUUGUUUUGGAGAACAAAAAAUUAGAAUACAUAGGCAAAAAAAUUUCAGAGAGACAAACUUUUCA